rnacentral:rRNA from 1 species
UGAGGAAUAUUGGUCAAUGGGCGGGAGCCUGAACCAGCCAGGCCGCGUGAGGGAUGAAGGCCCUAUGGGUCGUAAACCUCUUUUGUCAGGGAACAAAAGCGAGCAUGUAUACUUGUCUGAGUGUACCUGAAGAAAAAGCAUCGGCUAACUCCGUGCCAGCAGCCGCGGUAAUACGGAGGAUGCGAGCGUUAUCCGGAUUUAUUGGGUUUAAAGGGUGCGUAGGCGGCGGUGCAAGUCAGCGGUAAAAGCCCGGGGCUCAACCCCGGCGAGCCGUUGAAACUGCAGUGCUAGAGAAGGCGAGAGGUACGCGGAAUGCGCAGUGUAGCGGUGAAAUGCUUAGAUAUUGCGCAGAACUCGAUUGCGAAGGCAGCGUACUGGCGCCUGACUGACGCUGAGGCACGAAAGCGUGGGGAUCGAACAGGAUUAGAUACC